rnacentral:lncRNA from 1 species
AUGAAAGAGAAAAUAAGUACAAGAGGAGAACACCCACUCUCAACUCUCCAUACACAAAUCUCUCUUAACUAGAAGUUACCCCCAUAAAAGCUCUCUCAAAGCCCCCUAAGGGGUCUCUCUCACAGGCCUACCAGUAUUAGGAUCCUCAAUGGCCUUGGACGCUUCCUAUGAAAGCCACUACAUCAUGCCUCACCGCAGCUGCUCUGGCUGAUGCUCUGCUCUACCUCUGACCCCCUAUCAGUGCUCUACCUGCAUUUGCUCUGCCUGCUA